GACGAACGCUGGCGGCGUGCCUAAUACAUGCAAGUCGAACGAGAGCGACCGGUGCUUGCCCUGGUCAAUCUAGUGGCGAACGGGUGAGUAACACGUGGGUAACCUGCUCAUCAGAGGGGGAUAACAUCCGGAAACGGAUGCUAAAACCGCAUAGGUCUUCGAGCCGCAUGGCUUGAAGAGGAAAAGAGGCGCAAGCUUCUGCUGAUGGAUGGACCCGCGGUGCAUUAGCUAGUUGGUGAGGUAACGGCUCACCAAGGCCGUGAUGCAUAGCCGACCUGAGAGGGUGAUCGGCCACAUUGGGACUGAGACACGGCCCAAACGCCUACGGGAGGCAGCAGUAGGGAAUCUUCCGCAAUGGACGCAAGUCUGACGGAGCAACGCCGCGUGAGUGAAGAAGGUUUUCGGAUCGUAAAACUCUGUUGUUAGAGAAGAACAAGUGCUAGAGUAACUGUUAGCGCCUUGACGGUAUCUAACCAGAAAGCCACGGCUAACUACAUG
rnacentral:rRNA from 1 species